ensembl:snRNA U4 U4 spliceosomal RNA
CAGUUUGCUCAGUGGCAGUAUUGUAGCCAAUGAGGUUUAUCUGAGGCACAAUGAUUGCUAAUUGAAAAUUAAAUAAUAAAAAACUGCCUACAAGUAUUUAGAAAUUGUAACAGAAA